rnacentral:piRNA from 1 species
UGCUCCUGUUUCAGUGAAGUCACCUUUUGUC